GGGGAAUUUUCCGCAAUGGGCGAAAGCCUGACGGAGCAAGACCGCGUGGGGGAGGAAGGUUUUUGGAUCGUAAACCCCUUUUGUCAAGGAAGAAGUUCUGACGGUACUUGACGAAUAAGCCUCGGCUAACUCCGUGCCAGCAGCCGCGGUAAUACGGAGGAGGCAAGCGUUAUCCGGAAUGAUUGGGCGUAAAGCGUCUGUAGGUGGCCAGCUAAGUCUGCUGUUAAAGAUCACAGCUCAACUGUGGGAAGGCAGUGGAAACUGGCAAGCUAGAGGCUGGUAGGGGUAAAGGGAAUUCCCGGUGUAGCGGUGAAAUGCGUAGAUAUCGGGAAGAACACCGGUGGCGAAAGCGCUUUACUGGGCCAGACCUGACACUGAAGGACGAAAGCUAGGGGAGCGAAAGGGAUUAGAUACCCCUGUAGUCA
rnacentral:rRNA from 1 species